UGCAUUAUUUUUCCAUGAAAUGAGUUACAAUUCUUCUAAAAACACUUGAAAUUGGUCUUAUUUUCAUGUAAUGACGCAUGUCAUCACAACCCCAAACUUAUUUUAUUCCUUGUCCUCAAGGAAUAUCUCAAUCUCUAAGAAAACAAAACACUACAUCAAUCCAUUUGGCUACACAAACUCAAACCCAAUCAAUUUAGACGCAAUUUGCAUAAUAUUUCAACUGUCGUCAUGAUUCAAAUACACACAGUUUCAAAUUUAGGCAAAACAAAGAGCAUCAAACAAAGAUUGACCAUACUUAAUCUCUUCACACCCUCACCGACUCUCCUGUUUAAGGGUAAUAUUCACUCAAUCAACACAUCAUAACUAGACU
rnacentral:lncRNA from 1 species